rnacentral:rRNA from 1 species
AGGGCGCACGGAGGAUGCCUUGGCACUAGGAGUCGAAGAAGGACGCGACAAACGGCGAAACGCCUCGGGGAGCUGUAAGUGAGCAUUGAUCCGGGGGUAUCCGAAUGGGGAAACCCGCUAGUGGUUAUACGCUAGCACCAUAUGGUGAAUACAUAGCCAUAUAGGAGACAGACCCAGGGAACUGAAACAUCUAAGUACCUGGAGGAAAAGAAAGAAAAAUCGAUUCCCGUAGUAGCGGCGAGCGAAGUGGGAAGAGCCCAAACCGGAUUUAUCCGGGGUUGUAGGACCUUCAUAAUUGACAAAUCAUGAUAGCCGAAUGGUCUGGGAAGGCCAACCGUAGGGGGUGAGAGUCCCGUAGGUGAAAUUGUGAGAUGCAUGGAAGGAAUCCUGAGUACGGCGGGACACGUGGAAUCCCGUCGGAAUCAACGAGGACCAUCUCGUAAGGCUAAAUACUACCUAGUGACCGAUAGUGAACCAGUACCGUGAGGGAAAGGUGAAAAGAACCCCGGGAGGGGAGUGAAAGAGAACCUGAAACCCUGCACUUACAAGCUGUAGGAGCACAUUAUUUGUGUGACUGCGUACUUUUUGUAGAACGGGCCAACGAGUUACGUUGUGUAGCAAGGUUAAGCACUUAAGGUGUGGAGCCGUAGCGAAAGCGAGUCUUAAAUGGGCGAUUAAGUUACUUGGCGUAGACCCGAAACCGGGCGACCUAUCCAUGAGCAGGUUGAAGCGAAAGUAAAAUUUCGUGGAGGACCGAACCCACGUACGUUGAAAAGUGCGGGGAUGACUUGUGGAUAGCGGUGAAAUUCCAAUCGAGCCUGGAGAUAGCUGGUUCUCCCCGAAAUAGCUUUAGGGCUAGCCUCAAGCUUAGAGAAACGGAGGUAGAGCACUGAAUGUCCUAGGGGGUAUUGCACUUACCGAAGACUAUCAAACUCCGAAUGCCGUUUUCUUUUACUUGGGAGUCAGACUGUGGGUGAUAAGAUUCAUAGUCAAAAGGGCAACAGCCCAGAUCGUCAGCUAAGGUCCCUAAAUGUAAGUUAAGUGGUAAAGGAUGUGGAAUUGCACAGACAACCAGGAUGUUGGCUUAGAAGCAGCCACUCAUUUAAAGAGUGCGUAAUAGCUCACUGGUCGAGUGAUUCUGCGCCGAAAAUUUCCGGGGCUAAAACUUACUACCGAAGCUACGGCAUCAUUAUGAUGGGUAGGGGAGCUUUCUAUGCGGCUUGAAGCAUGACCGUAAGGACAUGUGGACUGCAUAGAAGUGAGAAUGUUGGCAUGAGUAGCGAGAUGUGGGUGAGAAUCCCACAGGCCGUAAACCCAAGGUUUCCAGGGGAAGGUUCGUCCGCCCUGGGUUAGUCGGGACCUAAGCCGAGGCCGAAAGGCGUAGGUGAUGGACAACAGGUUGAUAUUCCUGUACCGCCAAUAAGCGUUUGAGAGAUGGAGUGACACAGUAGGAUAAGCUAACCGUACUGUUGGUUAUGUACGGCUAAGCAUUGAGGCAGUCUAAAUAGGCAAAUCCGUUUAGACAAUGCUAGGAUGUGAUGGGGAAGCCCUUCGGGGCGAAGUAGCUGAUUUCACACUGUCAAGAAAAGCUUCUAUCGAGUUUAAAGGCGCCCGUACCGUAAACCGACACAGGUGGGUGAGGAGAGUAUCCUAAGGCCAGCGAGAGAACUAUUGUUAAGGAACUCGGCAAAAUGACCCCGUAACUUAGGGAGAAGGGGUGCCUGUCUAUGACAGGCCGCAGAGAAUAGGCCCAAGCGACUGUUUACCAAAAACACAGGUUUCUGCUAAGUCGCAAGACGAUGUAUAGGAGCUGACGCCUGCCCGGUGCUGGAAGGUUAAGGGGAUCUGUUAGAGCAAUCGAAGCAGUGAACUUAAGCCCCAGUAAACGGCGGCCGUAACUAUAACGGUCCUAAGGUAGCGAAAUUCCUUGUCGGGUAAGUUCCGACCCGCACGAAAGGCGUAACGAUUUGGGCACUGUCUCAACAAUAGACUCGGUGAAAUUGUAAUCCCGGUGAAGAUGCCGGGUACCUGCGACAGGACGGAAAGACCCCAUGGAGCUUUACUGUAGCUUGACGUUGGGUCUUGGUACUACAUGUACAGGAUAGGUGGGAGACUAUGAAGCAUGGACGCCAGUCUGUGUGGAGUCAUCCUUGGGAUACCACCCUUGUAGUACUGGGAUCCUAACCAUAGGCCUUGAAUCAGGUCUUGGAACACCGUCAGGUGGGCAGUUUGACUGGGGCGGUCGCCUCCUAAAAAGUAACGGAGGCGCCC